rnacentral:rRNA from 1 species
UACGGAGGGGGCUAGCGUUGUUCGGAAUUACUGGGCGUAAAGCGCACGCAAGCGGUUGGACAAGUCUGGCGUGAAAUCUCCUGGCUUAACUAGGAGCGGUCGCUGGAAACUGUUCGGCUUGAGGCGAUGAGAGGGGUGCAGAAUUCCCGGUGUAGUGGUGGAAUGCGUAGAGAUCGGGAGGAAUACCAGUGGCGAAAGCGGCACCCUGGCGUCGUACUGACGCACAUGUGCGAAAGCGUGGGGAGCGAACGGG